AUGUGUGUGUGUGUGUGUAUAGAGAUAUCGCGUAUACGCAGCGUAAAUCACUUUCAGAUGUGUUUGACUGCUGAAAACUGUGCGUCCGAUCUGUGGCACGGC